GCUGGCAGCUAGCUCUCUGCAACUCUCACAUGGUCACCUACUGAAGCUAAGCAAGGCUGUGUCCGGUCAGUACCUGGAUAAGACACCACAUGGGAAAGCUAGGUUGCUGUCAUAA
rnacentral:rRNA from 1 species